AGGGCAUUCCACUUCGCAAGCUUCCCUUCCACUUCUCUCUUCAUGCCGCCGCACACAACCAACCCUCACAGCCACCUACGGCCAGAUGUGUAGCAGACUAUCAUGCUAAAACAGAGCAGGGGCAGGAAGCAAAUAAAGAUCGGAUAUGCAUCGAUGUUCUAGAGAGAGAAAUGAGAAGGAAUCCAAUGGCUGGGGAUGCAUCUAUUUCUUCUGAAACAGUAGCAGAUGAUCUGCACAUGAAACUGCUGUAUCUGGAAAACCGAGUUGCAUUUUCACGAUUGUUCUUCCCUACCGAAGCAAUGCUAGCCUUUGAUGUUGCACAUGCUGAGACAAUAUCUGAGUUUGCUGGCAUUUCUGCCUCAAAAGGUUCAACUGGGAAUUUGUGGGCGGUCAAUCUGAAUGAGACUCCAAUUAUGCAGAACAAGAGACUCCUACUUGAAUUGAAGCACUGAUGAAAACAGUGGAGAUGGGUCGACGCUAUUUUCCUAAUUGCUCAGAAGUGCUGGAUAAGUUCAUGGAAGAUGACCUUCCCGAUUUGUUUUAUCUUGAGAAGGGCACCCCAGUUGAGCAGAGAAUCAAGAGGAAGCGCUUCAUGGAGCUAAAACAGGAUGUUCAGAAGGCAUUCCAUAAGGUCAAGGCCGAGUCCAGUCGCUCUGGAUUGUCUUCCUCGUCUUCUCUAAAAGAUUGUGUGAAUUAUAAGGUGGGAGAAGACGGUGUAAAUUACAAAAAAUCAUGAAGGCUCUUAAUUUGUCUAAAUAAGCCUGGUCCUAAAGUGCAAACUAUUUUCAGAAAAAUAUACAGGCGAGAUCCUCAUAAAUGUUGGCUCGUCAUAUUCUUUAAGUUCUUAGCUAAGGAUUAUGCUCUAUGUUGUACUAUUAAGCUAGUCAAAACGUUCCACUUCUGAAUUUUUUUUUUUUUGUAGAGGAUGGUCUUAACAGCUGGGAGAACGAAAGAAAUUGUUAAAGUUAUUCUUUUGUUCCA